rnacentral:rRNA from 1 species
CGACCCGAGGUCAAGCGGGAUUACUCGCUGAGGUUAAGCAUAUCAAUAAGCGGAGGAAAAGAAACUUACCAGGAUUCCCCUAGUAGCGGCGAGUGAACCAGGGAAAGCCCAGCUUGAGAAUUGUCGCCAUCGGCGUCUGAAUUGUAGUCUGGAGAAGCGUCCUCAGCGACUGACUGGGCCCAAGUCCCCUCGAAAAAGGCACCGGAGAGGGUGAGAGCCCCGUCGUGCCCAGAUCCUGUCGCACCACGAGGCGCUGUCUAUGAGUCGGGUUGUUUAGGAAUGCAACCCUAAUCGGGUAGUAAAUUCCUUCCAAGGCUAAAUACGGGCGAGAGACCGAUAGCGAACAAGUACCGCGAAGGAAAGAUUAAAAGGACUUUGAAAAGAGAGUCAAAGAGUGCUUGAAAUUGUCAGGAGGGAAGCGGAUGGGGGUCAACGACGCGCCUCGGUCGGAUGUGGAAAGGCGAGAGUCUGUCCAUCGAUCGGCUCGAGGCAUGGACCGACGCGGGUUGUAGCAGCGGCCCAAGCCUGGGCCUUUGAUACGCCCGUUGAGACGUCAUCGCCUCGAUCGUGGGAUUCAGUACACGCCGUCUCAGAGUGCUUCGGCACCUGCGUGCUUUGGGCUCCCCAUUCGGCCCGUCUUGAAACACAGACCAAGGAGUCUGACAUGUCUGCGAGUCAACGGGCUAGAAAACCCGUAAGGCGCAAGGAAGCUAAUUGGUGGCAUCCCUCGCGGGUGCACCGCCAAUCGACCUUGAUCUUUUGAGAAGGGUUCGAGUGAGGGCAUGCCUGUCGGGACUCAAAAAAUGGUGAACUAUGCCUUUCCUCUGGCUUCGCCCCGCAGCGAUACUGACGUGCAAAUCAUUCAUCUGACUUGGGUAUAGGGGCAAAAGACUAAUCGAACCGUCUAGUGUCACGGGCUGAUGUUCAAAGCCCGUGACCAUCGCACCAAACACUUCCAAUAGAGGUCUAUUACUCAGAUGGGGAUCAUUUGGCCCACGAGAACUGGCCCAAUUCAAAGAGCUAUUGAAGAAGCCUGUCAGAUUGAAGCCUGGUUGGCCCGAUAAUGAAGACAUGACAACUUAGUCUAAUAUGGUAACUAAUCUUAGAAGAUAGAGGGAAUCAUAUCUUGUAAAGAUUAGAUAAGAUUUGAUAUGGCAUAUCUUGUAAAUCCCUAAAAUAAAGGGAUAUGGCUAGUCCCGUCCAUCGAUGUAAAUGUAUCUUGACCUUUAGUUUUGGGGGAGCUCAACUAUAAAUAGAGAGCCUCCCCCUCAGUUGUACUCACUCCAUUCAUUGUUUCAUUAUUCUUUGUGAAUAAGAGAAUUGAGAACAUUUACUCAAACACUUUGCGAGCGCUCUUUCUGUUGUUCUUUUGUUUAGCUUCUUCUGGCAUAAAUCGCUUCCACUCUUCAAUUUGGUGCCUUGGAGAAGUUCUUAAGGAAUCCUCACUUGAGUUAAGGUGACUUAGGCGAGUUUAGACGAACGGAUCGCCUAAGGCCGUACAGAUCGCAAGAGUAAACUCUAGCCCCGUGACAAGUGGUAUCCGAGCUAUUGGUUCGAACCAAGUGAUAUCUGAGUUAUUGGUUAUAAAGGCACCGUUGGGGUGUCGAAAGAAUAGUUCGAACAAAGGUGGGCGAGGAAGUCUUUGAGGGAGACAUUAUCGGCAGUAGAGGAAUGUGUGGGUAAACUCGAGGGAUCCAUGGAGGAUGUAAAGGAGGCACUUGAUGGGGUCGAGGAUCGCAUAGCAAACUGGAAGGAGCAGUCCAGAGACUAUGUAAAGAUGUCUCUUGAUUCCACCAUGGAUAAAGUACACGAGUUGUUUAAUUCACAUAGGGAUAAGCUGUCAGAAAGGAAUGAUGCUCUUGAGGCCAUGACGAUGGCUUUGAAAGAGGAAAAAAUGGCCACGACGAGGGCUUUGAGCACAUGAAUAGAGGAGCUCGAGGGAGAACUGGCCUUGUGUCGAGCAGCCGUGGGGAAAGGAGUGGCAAAUACAACACUCAGUAGCGAGGAUGUCCCUAAGCCAAAAGAGUUUGUGGGGACAAGGUCUGCAUACAAUGUGGACAAUUUCUUGUGGAGGAUGGAGAACUACUUCCGUGCCAAAGGCAUCAUGGAUGAUGCAGUUAAGUUAAACACUGCUUCAAUGUUUCUUACUGACAUUGCGCUUUUAUGGUGGCGAGGCAAAACCACAUGGCAAGAGUUCCAAUGCAAAUUGAAGGGACAGUUUUACCCAGAAUUUACCAAGGAAGAAGCUUGGGCAAAGUUCCAAGGGAUAACGCAAUGGGGCACAAUGGGGGAGUAUGUUCGAGAGUUCAAAGAACUCAUGCUCCAAGUUUUAGAGGUGACCGAAAGAGAGGCAUUUCCUACUUUUCAGAAUGGAUUGAAGCCGUGGGUCAGAUAGGAGGUAGAACAAAGAGGUGUCCAAAAGCUGUUUGGAGCCAUGAUGGUAGUUGAGUCAGUGGUCAAGCUUGGUCUAGAGAAAGACAAGCUUGGGUCUUCCAAGUCCGAGGAAAUGGGCGUAUGUGAAAUGGAUCACAAGGAGGAUAUUGUUGAUGGCAAUGGCAACAACGACGAUGGUGGUAAUGGGAAACCACGAGUUGGGAAGAAGAAACCCAAGAGGAAAAGGGACAAGCUGAAAUGCUUUCUCUGUGACGGUCCACACAUGUUGAAGAAAUGUCUGAAGAAAUCCGUACUUAAGGAGAAGCCGGUGGGUAAGGCCUUGGUACUUGGUUCGAGCGCAAGGGGUGUCGAAGCCAAGAAGGCCGAAAGCGAGAAGCCAGUGGAGUGAUUCUUGUGUCAUGGUCCGCAUAGGUUGCGGAAGUGUCCGAGAAAGUCUAUCAUCGAGGGGAACGAUGAGCAGACAAGGAGCCCAAGAAGCUUGGUUCGAGCAAGGGAAAAGCCGAAGCCAAGAGGGCAAAGAGGAGCGAAAAGAAGCGAGUAAAGUUCUUUCGGUGUCGUGGUCUGCAUGAGUUACGGAACUGUCCAAAGGAAGCUGGAGUCAAAAGAAAAGCAACGUCUGAGCUUGGUGAGUCAUCGGAGGGGCUUCCACCCAAGGAAGAUGUGAGUUUCUCAUCGGACUUAGAGGAAAGAGUUGCUAUGAAAACAGUGAAGCUGGGACCAAUGAGGCUCAAGUUGAGUGAAGCGUCAGAGUUGGCUGAGUCAUCGACAAUGCUUCCACCUAUGGGAGAGGUGGGUGGUGCAUCGGACUUCAAGCAAAAAGAAGUGAUGCAUGUGGGGCAGUUGACCAGAGUAAAUGUAAAGGUACAUUCUGAACACUGUGAUAGUGUUUUACAUUCUAAAUUGUUGACUUGGAAAGAACGUAGGGGCCCUUUUGAAGUUAUUGAGCAAAGAGACCGAGAGACUGUGGGCAAACCGAAGCCAAUGGUGGUGAAUCACAAGGAUUCUAUUCGAGGAAAGUUAUAGUGUAGACAAGAGAGUGACAUAACUUCGUGUCAUCGAUAUGUACAAACAAGUAGGACGGUUUGAGUUAAGAAGCGACGUAAGUCGAGGCAAAAGUCCCGAAGGAAGGGAAAGGCUAAGGCGUCGAGAUGAGAUCGAGGUGUAUCAAGUCAAUGCCAUUCGGAAGUCGCAACGAGGACGUUGAGAGAAUGGGUGGGGGAGAAUGUCACGGGCCACAAUUCAAAUCCUGUGACCAUCGCACCAAAUGCAUCCAAUGGAGGUCUAUUGCUCAGAUGGGGAUAAUUUGGCCCAUGAGAACUGGCCCGAUUCAAAGAGCUAUUGGAGAAGCUUGUCAGAUUGAAGCCUGGUUGGCCCGAUAAUGAAGACAUGACAACUUCGGCUAAUAUGGUAACUAAUCUUAGAAGAUAGAGGGAAUCAUAUCUUGUAAAGAUUAGAUUAGAUUUGAUAUGACAUAUCUUGUAAAUCCCUAAAAUAAAGGGAUAUGACUAAUCUCGUUCGUCGAUGUAAAUGUAUCUUGACCGUCGGUUUUAGGGGAGCUCAACUAUAAAUAGAGAGCCUCCCCUCAGUUGUACUCACUCUAUUCAUUGUUUCAUUAUUCUUUGUGAAUAAGAGAAUUGAGAGCAUUUACUCAAACACUUUGCGAGCGCUCUUUCUAUUGUUCUUUUGUUUAGCUUCUUUUGGCAUAAAUCUCUUCCUCUCUUUAAUUUGGGGCCUUAGAGGAGUUCUUAAGGAAUCCUCACUUGAGUUAAGGCUGACUUAGGGGAGUUUGGACGAACGGAUCGCCUAAGGCCGCACGGAUCACAAGAGAAAACUCUAGCCCCGUUAUAGCUGGAGCCCUUAGUGAGUUCCAUUGGGUAAAAUCAAUGAUUAGAGGGAUCAGGGGCGCAACGCCCUCAACCUAUUCUCAAACUUUAAAUAGGUAGGACGGUGCGGCUGCUUCGUUGAGACGCGCUACGAAAGCGAGAGCUCCAAGUGGGCCAUUUUUGGUAAGUAGAACUGGCGAUGCGAGAUGAAUCAGAAGUCGGGUUACGGUGCCCAACUGCGCGCUAACCUAGAAUCCACAAAGUGUGUUGGUUGAUUAAGACAGCAGGACGGUGGUCAUGGAAGUCGAAAUUUGCUAAGCAGUGUGUAAAAACUCACCUGCCGAAUCAACUAGCCCAGAAAAUGGAUGGCGCUUAAGCGCGAGACCUAUACCCAGCCGUUGGUGCAGAUCUUGAUGGUAGUAGCAAAUAUUCAAAUGAGAACUUUGAAGGCUGAACAGAGGAAAGGUUCCAUGUGAACGGCACUUGUACAUGGGUUAGUCGAUCCUAAGAGACGGGGGAAGCCCGUUCGAUAGUGCGUCUAGCACUUCCACAUGAGCUUGACUCUAGUCUAACUUUGUGAAAUAACUUGAGAGGUGUAGGAUAAGUGAGAGCUCUCGGGCGAAACUAAAAUACCACUACUUUUAACGUUAUUUUACUUAUUUCGUGAAUCGGAGGCGGGGCACGACCCCUCUUUUUGGAUCGAAGCCGGCCGAUCUGGGCUUAAAACAUUGUCAGGUGGGGAGUUUGGCUGGGGCGACACAUCUGUUAAAAGAUAAUGCAGGUGUCCUAAGAUAAGCUCAACGAGAACAGAAAUCUCAUGUGGAACAAAGGGGAAAAGCUCGUUUGAUUGUGAUUUCCAGUACGAAUACGAACCGUGAAAGCGUGGCCUAUCGAUCCUUUAGACCUUUGAAAUUUGAAGCUAGAGGUGUCAGAAAAGUUACCACAGGGAUAACUAGCUUGUGGCAGCCAAGCGUUCAUAGCGACGUAACUUUUUGAUCCUUCGAUGUCGACUCUUCCUAUCAUUGUGAUGUAGAAUUCACCAAGUGUUGGAUUGUUCACCCACGAAUAGGGAACGUGAGCUGGGUUUAGACCGUCGUGAGACAGGUUAGUUUACCCUACUGAUGGCAGCGUCGCAAUAGUAAUUCAUCCUAGUAUGAGAGGAACCGUUGAUUCGCACAAUUGGUCAUCACGCUUGGUUGAAAAGCCAGUGGCGUGAAGCUACCGUGCGCUGGAUUAUGACCGAAUGCCUCUAGGUCAGAAUCUGGGCCAGAAGCGAUGCACACGCCCGUCGCCCGAUUGUCAACCCAUAAUAAGGGCCUCUGGCCCCCAAGGGCAAUGUCGUAGGUGCUGCAGCCGCGGCGGACAAGUCGCGAGCGCCUCCCUGGAUCGUAAUUCCCACCGAGCGGCGGGUAGAAUCCUUUGCAGAGGACUUAAAUACUCGACGAUGUAUUGUAAGUGGCAGAGUGGCCUUGCUGCCAUGAUCCAUUGAGAUUCAGCCAUUUGUCGCUUCGAUUUGU